AGGGCUAAGAAUGGGAUAGAGGAG
rnacentral:siRNA from 1 species